GGGUCCGUCGUAUAACGUCCAUUAUCUCCGGCUCCAGCCCGGAGGACGAGGGUUAAACUCCCUCCGGGCCCA
rnacentral:tRNA from 1 species